GAAAGCCUGACCCAGCAACGCCGCGUGAAGGAUGAAGUUUUUCGGAAUGUAAACUUCGUAAGAAUAGGAAGAAUAAAUGACGGUACUAUUUGUAAGGUCCGGCUAACUACGUGCCAGCAGCCGCGGUAAUACGUAGGGACCAAGCGUUGUUCGGAUUUACU
rnacentral:rRNA from 1 species